AACGCGUAAGUAAUCUACCCUCGCAUUUGGGAUAACCCACCGAAAGGUGAGCUAAUACCGGAUACGUCUGAUUUAAUAUCUUUUUUAUCAGAGAAAGAUGGCCUCUUCAUGAAAGCUAUUGUGCGGGGAGGAGCUUGCGUACCAUUAGCUAGUUGGUAGGGUAAAGGCCUACCAAGGCAACGAUGGUUAGCGGGUCUGAGAGGAUGAUCCGCCACACUGGAACUGGAACACGGACCAG
rnacentral:rRNA from 1 species